rnacentral:rRNA from 1 species
UGGGGAAUCUUGCACAAUGGGCGAAAGCCUGAUGCAGCGACGCCGCGUGCGGGAUGAAGGCCUUCGGGUUGUAAACCGCUUUCAGCAGGGACGAGGCCGCAAGGUGACGGUACCUGCAGAAGAAGCCCCGGCUAACUACGUGCCAGCAGCCGCGGUAAUACGUAGGGGGCAAGCUUUAUCCGGAUUCAUUGGGCGUAAAGCGUGCGUGGGCGGUUUGUUAGGUCAGGGGUUAAAUCUGGGGGCUCAACCCCUAUCAGCUCCUGAUACCGGAAGGCUUGAGUCUGGUAGGGGAAGGAGGAAUUCCAAGUGUAGCGGUGAAAUGCGCAGAUAUUUGGAAGAACACCGGUGGCGAAGGCGGCCUUCUGGGCCACGACUGACGCUGAGGCGCGAAAGCUAGGGGAGCGAACAGG